rnacentral:rRNA from 1 species
CCUACGGGAGGCAGCAGUGGGGGAUAUUGGGCAAUGGGCGCAACCCUGACCCAGCAACGCCGCGUGAAGGAAGAAGGCUUUCGGGAUGUAAACUUCUUUUAUCAGGGACGAAGCAAGUGACGGUACCUGAGCAAUAAGCCACGGCUAACUACGUGCCAGCAGCCGCGGUAAUACGUAGGGGGCAAGCGUUAUCCGGAUUUACUGGGUGUAAAGGGAGCGCAGCCGGGAAGGUAAGUCAGAUGUGAAAGGCCGCGGCCCAACCGCGGGACUGCUUUGGAAACUGUUCUUCUUGAGUACAGGAGAGG